rnacentral:misc_RNA from 1 species
GAUGAAGAACGUAGCGAAAUGCGAUAAGUAAUGUGAAUUGCAGAAUUCAGUGAAUCAUCGAAUCUUUGAACGCACAUUGCGCCCCCCAGUAUUCUGGCGGGCAUGCCCGUUCGAGCGUCAUUUCAACCAUCAAGCCCUGCUUGUGUUGGGGUCCUGCGGCUGCCCGCAGGCCCUGAAAACCAGUGGCGGGCUCGCUAGUCACACCGAGCGCAGUAGCACAUCUCGCUCAGGGCGUGCGGCGGGCUCCAGCCGUUAAAGCACCCACCUUUCGCAAGGUUGACCUCGGAUCAGGUAGGAAUACCCGCUGAACUUAAGCAUAUCAAUAAGCGGAGGA